GGACAUUCUGGACUCGUGUGCCUGAUUAUUGGCUGUUUUUUGGGCAUGUGAAUCGCGCCUCCGUGGCAAUAUAUACGUUACACUCAUUACGCCCAUAACUCUCCUUUCUGCAUGAUUUUACUGCUCACCUACUAUGGACAAGUCGCUGGGAUAGAAAGUCAAAGAUGAAUCAGAGUUUGCUUAAAAUGUAGUAGGGGUGGGGCCGCCGGUGGCGCAGCGGUUAAGUUCGCACGUUCUGCUUUAGCCGCUAGGCGAUCGUCAGUUCGGAUCCUGGGUGCGGAUAUGACACCGCUUGGCACGCCGUGCUGUGUCUUCUCAUCUGCAAGGUGGUCAUGAUGGCUGCUGGGCUGUUCGCCAUCUUGGAUCUGAGGGGACUUUGAAGAUGGAAGCCAUUUGCUGAAGAGGGUGGACCCGAAAGACACAAGGAACCUGAAUCCUUGAUGACAUCUUGGAGCCACUCCACCAGCCCAGACUACCUCCCUCUGGACUUAUUUUAUCUGCUGACCCCAAGCACCUCCCGCAGACUAGUCUCUGGUUCGCCUGCUGCAAGGCUGCAAAAUCUUUCCUGGUCUAAGACUGUGUGAGCUGUUUUUA
rnacentral:lncRNA from 1 species